AGGUAUGUGGAGUUUUAUUUGAGAAUGCAAUGUACAAUUUACUCAGAAUAAUCUGGAAGUCGCUCUUCACCUCUUGAGCCUACUAAGUGAAUUCAAUCUCAAAUACUACAAUGAGUUCAAUUCCAAAUUCAAUUUGAAGAUUUUACAAUGCAGUUGUGCAAAAAUCCUCCUCACAGUUAAUAUUUGCAGCUAGCACUGUAGAAACAAGAACCUUUUUUACGGUGGUGGGCGAGAGCAUCAAAAGACAGAAAAUACAUUCUCGACAUCAGAGUUUAGCAUAAUGGGUUUUUAUUCUUUUUAAACCAUGAAAACAUGUCUUCAGCCUAUCCACUGAAAUAAAACUCCUGGGAUGUUAAAUUUCAUGGUGAAACUUGAAAUGCCUUCAAAGGCUAAAAGAGUUUUUCCUGUCUCACAUUCACCAACAGAAUUCAGCUCCUCCUUGUGGCUACAUACUAUAAUUGCUUCUUAGAGACUCCCCAAGGGAAAUUACUUUAAGAUAUUCUUCCCUCAAGUACAACUUCGACAUUUCAAAUUUUUCAAGUUUAUCAACAAAACCACAACCAGGGUGGGCUACGUCACUCAUACCAUAUGUAUUACUUGCUAGUUUUUAUGGAGUGAUAAAAACAAAUUCAAAAGUAGAAGAGCUCCAACUUCAGUUUCUAUCAAAAUAUUCUUUCCCCAAACUAGAAGCCUUAAGUAGAACCUCAGAGGGUGAAAGGAAACAAAGACAAAGAGCUUCUGCCACGGAAGACAGCCCAGCUGAUCCCUGACAAAGCGAAAGAACUGAGGUGAUAUGUAAAGAGAUUAAAGGAUCAGACUGUGUCACCUUUUGCAGAAGGCUUUGGAAAGCCACUUAUUAUCAAGAACCCAACACUGGUCGAGCUAAGCCAUCGAGAGACUUGCAGUUGGGAGCCCAAAGAUGCCUUUAGUUGACAAGGACAGGUCAAAGAGAAUUCAGCAUGAGAAGUUAAAAUGGCCAGGAUCGACAGCCAACCAAUCACCUGUGGGGGAGCCUGGAGAAUCAUCAAGAACUGCAGCAAUGAAAACAACAUUCUGAAUUAUUUGCUCAGAAUAAUGCUGGCAACAGGGAGGAAUGGAUUAAAGCAACCAAAUGACCUAUUAGUUUUACAAAACGGUAACUGCAUAUUAAAAACCUCUGACAUCUCCUGAGAAAAUACUAACAUUAAUAUUCCUAUUUUUUCCCUUCUGUGCCCCUUUGGUCAUAUUUUACAUAGUUUUGAACUCUGGCGAAGAACUAUACUGCAAUGUCUCAAAGUUCACAAAUUAACAAACAAGACUGUUGAGCAAAUUACAAACCACACUGACUUUUCUAGCUAGCACAAAGAGAUUUUUUUUUACCUGUGCAGGUGUGUCUGUUUCAUUGAUUGGCUGCCCAUCAAAUCGGAAUCUGAUCUGCCUCAUUGACAAACCCUACAAGAGAGUUUAAAGGCAGUAAGAAUGCAAAGAAAACAGUAAAAACUGAAACCAUAUGCAUAUUUAGCCACAAAUAUAUUAAAAGAGGGACCCAAAUAAAUAAUCAAUACAUUAACAUUUCUAUGUGGGUAAAAAGAUUUGGUAGGAUUUUCACUUUCUUUGAACCAUGUUUGGUUUUCUUUGGAAAAGUGAUCUUUUUUUUAAAAAAAGGUCUUUUUAAAAAAGCUGUUUUGCUUUUGAGAUCCAAGCUUGGAUGGAUCAUAUACCUUGAGUCAAACAGUACAUGUAAAUGAGUUAGAAAGAUAUUGAAAAGAAAUUUAAAGUUAACAGAUACGGCAACAUUCUUCCAUCCAUGUUAAAGAGCUCUCCAAAUGGGGGGGAAAACACCCUUCAUAAUGAAAACUGGAAUUCACCUAAGUAAGCGUAAAGAUUAAGUUUGCCUUAAAGCCACUUUACCUUCAUUUCUAUCCAAACAGCUCCUAUCGCUAAGCAAAAGUAACCUGUGUCCCAACCCAGCACCAUGCUAGGGACACCACAGGAAUUCAACAAGUUUUUACCCUCGGGCAGGCAGGACAUUCCCACUAGAACUGUCCUAAAAUCAUUCAUAAGCACACAAGCUUGGAACUAUGGAAUAGUUCAAAAGAAACACCUGCUUUGUAAAUUCCAUUUUAGUACUUACCCAGACCAACAAUUACUAUUUGUCAACCUCACUACCAAGUAAGCUCCAGGAGGGACAAGAACCUAAGACUGUCUUGGUUAUACUGUAUUCCUCGCACAUAGUUGGUACUCACGGGUAUAAGUUACUGAUGGAAUAAAAUGGAUGAAAUGCAAUAUCAUGA